rnacentral:tRNA from 1 species
UAGCUGAGUUGGUAGAGCAUGGUGUUUGCAACGCCAGGGUUGUGGAUUCAAUUCCCAC